rnacentral:rRNA from 1 species
AGAAUCAACGCUGGCGGCGUGCCUAACACAUGCAAGUCGCACGAGAAAGGGGAGCAAUCCCUGAGUAAAGUGGCGCACGGGUGAGUAACACGUGAAUCAUCUACCUCCGAAUGGGGAAUAACUGAGAGAAAUCUUAGCUAAUACCGCAUAAUACCUACGGGUCAAAGCAGCAAUGCGUUUGGAGAGGAGUUCGCGGUCGAUUAGUUAGUUGGCGGGGUAAUGGCCCACCAAGACGAUGAUCGAUAUCCGGCCUGAGAGGGCGCACGGACACACUGGAACUGAAACACGGUCCAGACUCCUACGGGAGGCAGCAGUGGGGAAUUUUGCGCAAUGGGGGAAACCCUGACGCAGCAACGCCGCGUGGAGGAUGAAAUAUCUUGGUAUGUAAACUCCUUUCGAUGGGGAAGAUAAUGACGGUACCAUAGAAGAAGCCCGGCUAACUUCGCGCCAGCAGCCGC